rnacentral:rRNA from 1 species
CUACGGGGCGCAGCAGUGGGGAAUAUUGCACAAUGGGCGCAAGCCUGAUGCAGCAACGCCGCGUGAGGGAUGAAGGCCUUCGGGUUGUAAACCUCUUUUAGCAGGGAAGAAGCGAAAGUGACGGUACCUGCAGAAAAAGCACCGGCUAACUACGUGCCAGCAGCCGGGGUAAUACGUAGGGUGCAAGCGUUGUCCGGAAUUAUUGGGCGUAAAGAGCUCGUAGGCGGUUUGUCACGUCUGCUGUGAAAAUCCAAGGCUCAACCUUGGACUUGCAGUGGGUACGGGCAGGCUAGAGUGCGGUAGGGGAGAUGGGAAUUCCUGGUGUAGCGGUGGAAUGCGCAGAUAUCAGGAGGAACACCAAUGGCGAAGGCACAUCUCUGGGCCGUAACUGACGCUGAGGAGCGAAAGCGUGGGGAGCGAACAGGAUUAGAUACCCGAGUAGUC